rnacentral:rRNA from 1 species
UAGAUGUCCCGCGUCUAUUAGCUAGUUGGUAAGGUAACGGCUUACCAAGGCGACGAUCAGUAGCCGGCCUGAGAGGGUGAACGGCCACACUGGAACUGAGACACGUCCAGACUCUACGGGAGGCAGCAGUGGGGGAUAUUGCACAAUGGGGGAAACCCUGAUGCAGCGAUGCCGCGUGAAUGAUGAAGGCUUUCGAGUCGUAAAGUUCUGUUCUAAGGGAAGAUAGUGACGGUACCUUAGAAGAAAGUCCCGGCUAAAUACGUGCCAGCAGCCGCGGUAAUACGUAUGGGACGAGCGUUAUCCGGAAUUAUUGGGCGUAAAGAGUUCGUAGGCGGUCCUUUAAGUCAGAAGUGAAAGGCAGUGGCUCAACCAUUGUAAGCUUUUGAAACUGGGGGACUUGAGUGUUGGAGAGGAAAGCGGAAUUCCUAGUGUAGCGGUGAAAUGCGUAGAUAUUAGGAGGAACACCAGUGGCGAAGGCGGCUUUCUGGACAAAUACUGACGCUGAGGAACGAAAGCGUGGGGAGCGAACAGGAUUAGAUACCCUGGUAGUCCACGCCGUAAACGAUGAGUGCUAGGUGUUGGGGUAGCGAUACCUCAGUGC